rnacentral:rRNA from 1 species
UACGUAGGGGGCAAGCGUUAUCCGGAUUCACUGGGCGUAAAGGGAGCGCAGGCGGCAUGGCAAGUCUGAUGUGAAAACCCGGGGCCCAACCCCGGGAGUGCAUUGGAAACUGCCAGGCUGGAGUGUCGGAGGGGUAAGCGGAAUUCCUAGUGUAGCGGUGAAAUGCGUAGAUAUUAGGAGGAACACCAGUGGCGAAGGCGGCUUACUGGACGACUACUGACGCUGAGGCUCGAAAGCGAGGGGAGCAAACAGG